rnacentral:rRNA from 1 species
UCUCGCGUAAUGAUACGAAUGCCCCCGGUUUGUCCCUCUUUUUGUUGGUUCUAGAACUGAUUUAAUGGUUAAGAGGGACAAACCGGGGGCAUUCGUAUCAUUACGCGAGAGGUGAAAUUCGUGGACCGUAGUGAGACGCCCAACAGCGAAAGCAUUUGCCAAGAAUGUCUUCAUUAAUCAAGAACGAAAGUCAGAGGUUCGAAGGCGAUUAGAUACCGCCCUAGUUCUGACCGUAAACGAUGCCAUCUCGCGAUUCGGAGGGUUUUUGCCCUGCCGAGGAGCUAUCCGGAAACGAAAGUCUUUCGGUUCCGGGGGUAGUAUGGUUGCAAAGCUGAAACUUAAAGAAAUUGACGGAAGGGCACCACAAGGCGUGGAGCUUGCGGCUUAAUUUGACUCAACACGGGAAAACUCACCCGGUCCGGACACCAUUAGGACUGACAGAUUGAAAGCUCUUUCUCGAUUUGGUGGUUGGUGGUGCAUGGCCGUUCUUAGUUGGUGGAGUGAUUUGUCUGGUUUAUUCCGAUAACGAGCGAGACUCUAGCCUGCUAAAUAGUUGGCGAAUCUUCGGGUUCGUAUAACUUCUUAGAGGGAUAAGCGGUGUUUAGCCGCACGAGAUUGAGCGAUAACAGGUCUGUGAUGCCCUUAGAUGUCCGGGGCUGCACGCGUGCUACACUGGUGGACUCAGCGGGUUUUUCCUAUGCCGAAAGGUAUCGGUAAACCGUUGAAAUUCUUCCAUGUCCGGGAUAGGGUAUUGUAAUUAUUGCCCUUAAACGAGGAAUGCCUAGUAAGUGUGAGUCAUCAGCUCACGUUGAUUACGUCCCUGCCCUUUGUACACACCGCCCGUCGCUAUCCGGGACUGAACUGAUUCGAGAAGAGUGGGGACUGUCGCUUCGAGGUUUAACGACUUCGUUGUUGCGGAAACCAUUUUUAUCGCAUUGGUUUGAACCGGGUAAAAGUCGUAACAAGGUAGCUGUAGGUGAACCUGCAGCUG